AGAAAUUGAUUGCAAUUGACCACUUUUUCCACCUCAUAGAGUCCUUAAACAUCAUUUCCAAUCAUCAUAUAUAACCACACAACCAUGUUCAUAUUAAAACAGAAAAAUCCCCAAAAAUUAUAAAACUUCAUCAAGUCAACCACAACUCAAGAUAUAAUCCAUCAAACCAUCUCUUUAGCCAUCACAAGUCACUAAUUUAGCAUAAUCAAGAACAAAGAAAGGAUUGCUAGACAUGAACCUUGAAAUAUCAAGAAAGUUGAUGGCUUAGUCCUUUGCCUUCUCUAAUUACUCCACCACUACCUUCAAUCUUCCUAAACAAGUGAUUUUUGUGGAGGAAUUUGAAAGUUUAACGGUUGAUUCACAAGAUUGAGCAAGAAAUGGAGUUGGAGUUGAAGGCUUUCUUCUUGUUUCUCCUCCUCAAAAAAUUCGGCCAAGAAGCUUGC
rnacentral:lncRNA from 1 species